AGCUCCAAUAGCGUAUAUUAAAGUUGCUGCAGUUAAAAAGCUCGUAGUUGAAUUUCUGUUGAAACUAGCCGGUCCGCUCUCUGAGUGUGUACCUGGUUUUAGGUUUCAGCAUCCUUCUGGUUGUACCUGCGAUACUUAACUGUGUCGUAGAUAUGCCAGGACUUUUACUUUGAGAAAAUUAGAGUGUUUCAAGCAGGCUAUUCGCCUUGAAUACUGUAGCAUGGAAUAAUAAAAUAGGAUUUCGGUUCUAUUUUGUUGGUUUCUAGAACUGAAGUAAUGAUUAAUAGGGACAGUUGGGGGCAUUCGAAUUUAGCUGUCAGAGGUGAAAUUCUUAGAUUUGCUAAAGACGAACUACUGCGAAAGCAUUUGCCAAGGAUGUUUUCAUUAAUCAAGAACGAAA
rnacentral:rRNA from 1 species